AGUCAAUAACGUAGGAGGAAGGGGGUCUUUUAGCCUCGAUCCUAGGCCGCACUGAAGAUGAGGCCUUGUAAACACCAAUAGCUAGGGCAUCUUGGCAUCAUAAAUUAUACUCUCUGAGCUGACAAACUUGGGUAUCAUCAAGUACAGUGCUACGUGGAGGGAGUUGAAUACAGCAAUGAAAGGAACAGAGAAGAGGCCUACAGAUUCAAGGUGGUAUUAGAGUCGAGUAUAAAUUAAUACCUCAGUGGUACCCUUACCUCCUCUAGCUCUCUUCGGAAAGUAUCGUAUGUGUGGCCGACUGGUGUCAGUUCUCAGUGAGCGCCCCCUCAAGUCUGGAGGGUUAGGUUGUGAGGUUCAUGGCUUACCUGCAUGCUGUGUUUGACUGGAGAGGAUCAACGGAGCAAAAAGUGAACUAAAGAGAUGUCGCAGUUAACAAGAUAGCCAGCUGCUGGGAUGUCACGAGGGAACGAGAGAUCAGUUCUCUGAAGUCCAUAGUCUUAUUAUUAGUCUUGUAACAGUUGUGUAUCACAUGCACUCUCUCUUGUUUUAAAUAAUUCAGCAGCAAUGU